AUGCAGUCACCUCAGCUGUAAUCUCUCUCCUUGGCCUUCUAACCCUCUUCAUGUGGUAUUGCAGGAGCCAAGGAGACCAAAGAGAAAAUAAACGACAUUCCAAAGAGGAAGCAGACCAGGAGGUGCAGCAGGAGCUUCGGGAAGACAUGCUGCAGCGGCCGUAAAGAGCAUUCCCUAGUCUCGUGCCACCAAGAAUGAACCAGAAGAAGCUACAACCUGUCGUCAUGGCCAGCUCUUGGAAACACCCAUACCUAAGUCUGGCUAAUGCUUCCUCUUGCAAGCCUGUGUGGUUGGUUGCUUAUAAACUUUUACAAAAUUUAACCACCUGGGCUGAAAUUUUCACUGUCAGGACUCUGCUCAGGCUCAGUUCCCCACUCCAACCCCAGAAUUUCACUAAAAAAUGGCUCCACUAUUGCUGAAAGCACAGUUACGGGAAAAUAGGAACACAGUCUCAUGCUCCCCAACACACACACUAUCUGUGAAAAGGUUAUGAUUUGCUGAAUAUGUUUAUGCUAUCUGUAUGCAUGUAUCUUUUUUGUAUUUGAAGUAAUGAGUAUUGGCUCUAGACCUGGAGUUUAAAUGUUUGUUCCUAGUGUAAUUCCCACAAGGUAGUUAGCCAGCACAUCUUGAAGGGACUAGUCAAAGUAAGUGGCUCACCAAGGGACACUUAACUCACACUGGACCAUGGGAGAUGCUCAUCUACAUCGAAAGGACAUUCUAUAUGAAGUAUAGGUAAUGGCCCGGAGGCGAUGGGUGGGGGGAGCCAGGGGUGAUGGAGGAAGCACCAUCAUACAGGUUCGCCACGGGCACCAUUUUCAUAAGGCUGGCCCUUAUUAACCCUCAAUGCACAAACCAGGAAUAGUGCCUGAUUCCCACCGUUCCUCUACUAGCUAGUAAAUAGUCAUGUAAGCCAUUCCACUGUACUGCUGUUACUAUUAAGUAGCUUUAUGUUGUACACAUCAAAGGUAUUAAUUCAAAUCCUGCCAUUAGUUCACCUGGCUUCUCAAUAUAGCUCAAUAGGAUGGCAGGAUUGUGUUUGUUUUAGGCACUAGAAAAUUUCUUACAUUAGAAGAAUAUUAAGGUUGCAAAGUCAAGCACUCAAAUUAAAAAAUACUAGUAGGAAAGAUUGCCCAUGUAAUCACAAAUCUGCACCUCAGGCAUAGGUUUUUAAUGAUGCAGUUUUUAGUUGCAUCAUCACCUACAAUGUAGUCUAGGAACCCCUGCCUCAGUACAUACUCAGGGCCUGCACUACAUGAGGUGACGAGUGGCAAGAAAAAAAUUUAUCUUGUAUUGAAGGCCUGAGGCUGAGGCGAGACAGAUUCUAUUUUAGACUCUGUCACAGACUUCCUGUGGUUUAUUCCGUGUAUACGGAAGUGUGUGGGGGAAGGGCAGGAGUGGACAAUCUCUGUUUGGGCAUUUCCUAACUUUUCAGUGCUGGAUUUUGCAACUUUAAUGUCACUUCUGCAGUAUAUAACUCCAGUGUCAUUCAGCUCUUGCAUGUAUCUGUCAGCUAUGUUACUCGUGUAUGUUUGUCACUGUUACAUUGUUAGGAUUUUCUUUUAUAGCAUUCCUAUGUGUGUGUUCAGAGUAAUACAAGUA